rnacentral:rRNA from 1 species
AACGAACGCUGGCGGCAGGCCUAACACAUGCAAGUCGAGCGAGGACUUCGGUUCUAGCGGCGGACGGGUGAGUAACGCGUGGGAAUGUGCCCUUCUCUACGGAAUAGCCCUGGGAAACUGGGAGUAAUACCGUAUACGCCCUAUUGGGGAAAGAUUUAUCGGAGAAGGAUCAGCCCUCGUUGGAUUAGGUAGUUGGUGGGGUAAUGGCCUACCAAGCCGACGAUCCAUAGCUGGUUUGAGAGGAUGAUCAGCCACACUGGGACUGAGACACGGCCCAGACUCCUACGGGAGGCAGCAGUGGUGAAUCUUAGACAAUGGGGGCAACCCUGAUCUAGCCAUGCCGCGUGAGUGAUGAAGGCCUUAGGGUUGUAAAGCUCUUUCAGCUGGGAAGAUAAUGACGGUACCAGCAGAAGAAGCCCCGGCUAGCUCCGUG